ACUCAGCUGUUUGCUAUUAGGGCUGGAGCAGUAGCAGUGAGAAAUUCAUUGCUGCUUGGUCUCCGAAUCCUGACACAGUAACAGCGCAGACCCAACCAGCCAAAUCCACAAAGGAUCAAGGGAAGGGGAAAAAGAGAGCAACAAUCUUUUGAGCGCUUGCCGUCUCUCUUAUAUUGCACCUUUCAUCCCCGAGGAGCCGAUUUACCGAUGGUCUGACUCUGCCCCAUUCCUGCAGAGGCUUACGCUACAUUGCAUUAGAAGACAGGGCCUCUGCUUAUACCAGAAAACUUCAGGAGCACAUCUGCUGAAGUACCAGGAACCACUGAAGAUGGAGAUCAUGCCAGUGGUCAUCACCAGCCAAACAUCCCCACAGAGCUGGAGCAGCACAACUGAAGGGCUGGCAAGCUGUGACACCAGAGUACCAGAACCUCCCGCAGUGGGGCAGAGCCAGAGGAUCAGCUGAUGUUGGCUUCAUACUGGAAGGAAACCUAACACCUGAGUCCGGAAAUUCUGGUGCCAUCACACUGCCCAAGAUAGAAGAAGAAUUCCAAGAGUUGCAAGAGGCAGAAGCUUUCAGCUUUGUUACUUUCCUGGAAAACACAGAAUUCUUUUUGCACUUUCAUCCGAGAUGAAUAAACAAAAUAAAUUGCAUCCCACAUCAAACUGAAAA